CAGCAGCAUUCUCCUCUACCCCCAUUUCACUUCCCAAGCUGAGCCUUCCAGUGCCAGAGGAAGAGCUGAAGGAGGAUCUGGAUCUGAGUACCAUAUUAAGGGAAAUUCUGGGGAAAGAGGUGGAAUUGGCUGAGUUUU